rnacentral:tRNA from 1 species
UAAACUGUUAAAAGGUUUAAACUUCUAAUUUAAAGUCAAAGCAUUAGUGUUUCAGUUUUA